rnacentral:rRNA from 1 species
AGCGAACGCUGGCGGCAGGCUUAACACAUGCAAGUCGAGCGGGCACUUCGGUGUCAGCGGCAGACGGGUGAGUAACACGUGGGAACGUACCCUUCGGUUCGGAAUAACGCUGGGAAACUAGCGCUAAUACCGGAUACGCCCUUUUGGGGAAAGGUUUACUGCCGAAGGAUCGGCCCGCGUCUGAUUAGCUAGUUGGUGGGGUAAUGGCCUACCAAGGCGACGAUCAGUAGCUGGUCUGAGAGGAUGAUCAGCCACACUGGGAAUGAGACACGGCCCAGACUCGGAGGGAGGGAGGGGGAGGGGAGUAUAGGAGGAGGGGGGCAGGCCUAGCACCGCCUUGCGGGGGGAGUGGGGAGGCCUUUGGGUUUAAAAAGUCUUUUGGGCCGGACCGUUAGGGACGGUACGGGAAAAAGAAGCCCCGGCUAACUUCGUG